rnacentral:lncRNA from 1 species
CAUGAUCAAGAGGCUGCUGAUUUUGACCUAGGUGAUCAGCUUCGUCCUCAAACACAUCAAGCAGAUUCUUGAUACCGGUAGGAGAAUUCCAAGUAGUGGGAUUGGUUCUUCUAUCUUUGAUCGUUUAACCAAUUUGGAACACAAAGUAAUCAGUGAAAAUGACACCAUUGAGCAAUAUAAAAAAGUGUCAUAUAUAAUAUAACAGCUUUCACGGUCACCUUUGCCAGAUAUAUCAGUCAAUACAUAUGAAGACGAAGAUGAAGGUCUUAAAGACGGAGUGUGAAUGCUUUGCCGCCUUUUAUCUG